rnacentral:rRNA from 1 species
GAUGAACGCUGGCGGCGUGCCUAAUACAUGCAAGUCGAGCGAACAGGCGAGGAGCUUGCUCCUCUGACGUUAGCGGCGGACGGGUGAGUAACACGUGGAUAACCUACCUAUAAGACUGGGAUAACUUCGGGACACCGGAGCUAAUACCGGAUAAUAUAUUGAACCGCAUGGUUCAAUAGUGAAAGACGGUUUUGCUGUCACUUAUAGAUGGAUCCGCGCCGCAUUAGCUAGUUGGUAAGGUAACGGCUUACCAAGGCAACGAUGCGUAGCCGACCUGAGAGGGUGAUCGGCCACACUGGAACUGAGACACGGUCCAGACUCCUACGGGAGGCAGCAGUAGGGAAUCUUCCGCAAUGGGCGAAAGCUUGACGGAGCAACGCCGCGUGAGUGAUGAAGGUCUUCGGAUCGUAAAACUCUGUUAUUAGGGAAGAACAAAUGUGUAAGUAACUAUGCACGUCUUGACGGUACCUAAUCAGAAAGCCACGGCUAACUACGUG